AACAUUAAUGCCAUCUUUGGACUGGAGAUAUUCCUUUAUAUAAAAGAUGACCCAUGUAAACAAACGUGCUUUGAGACAUUGCAUUCUUUCACCGUGUUUCCUGCUGCCAUAAAGCUCCUCCCACUGGGUCCAGAGGAGCAGCGGCGUUCUGCUGCCACAGUGUGGGACGCUGCUGCUCCUAACUGGGAGAGUCUCUGACUGAUUUCUGAAGGGUGUCAUAGAGACGUGCAGUGACGCUUUUGGACAGUUCUUCAAAAAUAAGUAAACUGGAUCUCUCAUCAUCCGCGUCCUCCCUGAUGAGGCCAAGAAAAGCUUUUGACAGAAGCUCCUCCCACACGCGGCAGAAGCUGCAGGUUAACACACUUUUGGACAAACGUCAAGCAGCAACUUUGACGCAUGUCAAAACCUAAACAGUGUAAUUGAAUUUGACGCACAAAUUGGGUUCGGUCCUAACGGGAAAUUUAAAUGAUGCGCGCAACUGACUGCUCUUGCCAGGAAUGUUAACUUUUAAAUAAAACCAAACCAACAAUCUUCUGCUCUCUGGGUUUUUUUUCUCUCACAGAGUGAAAAUAUCACCCGUCUCCUUGGCAAUAAUCACUUUUGACGGCUCAACAUUUCUAAGACCGUUAUGGGAAUUUCCGCAUUCAUAGACUGGCACCCAUAAGACUAGUUUCUACCCUCCAGAGUAAUCUCUACAGAGAACGUGAAGCCAUGUGAAAGCAGAAACAAAUCUUGCUGCUUACUGUUGUGUGGAUGCUACUAAAUUGUCCAUCUUUUGGGUUUUUUUGUGUGUUUUACAUCCUCUGGUUCAGUCUGUACUUAUUCUAUCAAUGCUGCUUAUCUAAUGCAUCACAUGUACAACAAAGCUGACCAAAGAGGCACAUGUUAUGUUUGUAAAAAGCACCAACUUCAGUAUUAAUAAUGAGAAUAUAACCUUGUUUUAAUGUGUUUAGGCUGAAGAGGAUGAACUACCCGAUCUUGAGGUUAUUGAGUCAAAUGACAAAAUCCAAGUUCAGGAUAUGGAUUCCAACCCAAGCGGUGCUCAUUUAUCUGAGCACACACUUAGCCAUAAUGGACGCAGUGAGGCCUCAAACCAUGAAUCCCCCUCUGCCAGUCCUGAAAGUCCAUCCUCCACCCCUCUCCUCACAUUUUCACAUUCAAACCAGACUCUGACAACUCCAGCUCACAUA
rnacentral:lncRNA from 1 species